rnacentral:rRNA from 1 species
GAACGAACGCUGGCGGCGCGUUUAAGCAUGCAAGUCGAGCGGCAAGGGCCUUCGGGCCCCUAGAGCGGCGGACGGGUGAGUAACACGUGGACAAUCUGCCCCCCGGCCCGGGAUAGCCCAGGGAAACCUGGAUUAAUACCGGAUGAGACGGGACCCGCGAUGGCGGGAUCCGGGAAAGGCGCUGCGGCGCCGCCGGGGGAUGAGUCUGCGUCCCAUUAGCUAGACGACGGGGUAACGGCCCACCGUGGCGACGAUGGGUAGCCGGCCUGAGAGGGUGGACGGCCACAUUGGAACUGAGACACGGUCCAGACUCCUACGGGAGGCAGCAGCUAAGAAUCUUCCGCAAUGGGCGAAAGCCUGACGGGGCGACGCCGCGUGAACGAAGAAGGCCGUGAGGUUGUAAAGUUCUUUUCGGGAGGGGGAACAACCGUGGCAGGGAAUGGCCGCGGGAUGACGUGAAUCCCGGAAUAAGCCCCGGCUAACUACGUGCCAGCAGCAGC